UACGUAGGCGGAAAAUUAAGUCAGUGGUGAAAUCCUGCAGCUUAACUGUAGAACUGUCAUUGAUACUGGUUUUCUUGAAUAUAGUUGAGGUAGGCGGAAUGUGUAAUGUAGCGGUGAAAUGCUUAGAUAUUACACAGAACACCGAUUGCGAAGGCAGCUUACUAAACUAUGAUUGACGCUGAGGUACGAAAGCGUGGGGAGCGAACAGGAUUAGAUACCCUGGUAGUCC
rnacentral:rRNA from 1 species